GACAGAAAAGAAAAAAUCCUAUGCAAUUUAUAAGACUGAGUUCAGAAAGUCUUUGGCCAAAAUAAGUGUGAAUAUUAAAAAAGAGUUUCCACGAAAUUCACAAAUGAACUCGAGUCGAGCCAAUCUAGCAUAUGACUGACAAUCGGAUUUGACGAGUUCUCUAUGACCUCUGUCAAGUCGAAACUCACGAUAGAAAGACUGAAUCAUAUGAUAACUGUACCUACUG
rnacentral:lncRNA from 1 species